UAUAACAAAUGAUUGAAACAACGACGAAAUGAAGUAUAAAUACUCUGACUUAAUUUUGUCAAAUUUACAAUAUCAAAGUACGUAUAAAAAUUUAAGCUAUACUAAAAGUUAGAAGAAUUCUUCAAUAUAUUGUUAUAACAAUUGAAAUUAUUCGCUAAAGAAGUGAACAAUUAAUUGAAUAAUUCAAUUGAUGAGUAAACAAAACAAUUCAAUAUGAAAACAAAAAGCAUUUUUUUUAUCAGUUAUUUGUCAAUUUUAAUUCAAAAAGAAUCUGCAUUUGAUAAUUUCAAAAUAGACUUGAAUCAUUUAUAUGCUGAUGAUUGGAAUAAUACCUGGACCUAUAUUAUCGACAUAGCGAAUGCUAAUCAAAUUACCACUAAUAAUCCAGUAGAAAAAGCAGCAUGGGAAUAUACAAUCAUGAUAGUUGGUGUAACACCGUAUCCUUCUUCAUCGAUUUUCAUAAAAUGUGCUGAGAUUGUCCUUCCAUAUUUAUAUAAUAAAACGUACGUGCCUUUGGCAAGUAGGAUCAGAAACGGCUUUAUUGAUUUCGGAAUUAAUUUGGAUAAAAUGUAUGAUGUAAUAUUACAUGAUCUUCAGAGAAAAAACAUAGACGACAAAUAUUAUGGCAUACCAAAAUCCUUUUCUGAACGCUUUAUGAAAAAAAAAAAUAAAUAGUUGUAAUUAUAAUGUAACUACAUAAAAGUACUAAAAAUAUCGAAAGAUACAUGUAAAUGUCAUAGUAUACUUGUAAAUUGCAGAAAUGCGUUAAAUAAAUAUAUAAAUAAAUAAAUACAUCAUAUAUUAAUAACUGUACAUAAAGCUAUCAUGUAUAUAUGUUUAGAUACAUUUAUAUUAACAUAUGUUCACAUAUUUUUGUGCAAUUAUAUAUGUUGACAUAUAUCUAUACCAAUAUAUUUAUAUGCAUUUAUAUAAAUAUGUGUUCAUAUAUAUUUAUAUAAGUAUAUAUUUACAUGUAUAAUUAUUAUAUGUCAAUCAUAUACUUGAAUCUUAUAUCUUAUGAUAUAAUUUAAAUUAUAGUCCCGUAAAAAAUAAAUCAUACAUGGCCAUGUAUGCCUCUACAUGAUCAUACGUGACCAUGUAUGCCCAUACAUAGCUUGAUACGGCCAUAUAUGACUUGAUAUGACUAUGUAUAGAAAUUUUAACUAAAUUGAAAAAAAAAUUUUUUUUUUGUGUUUAAAUAUUUUGGCGACGCAGAGAUUAUCAGGUAUGCGAAUAAUUGAAUUCCUAAUCGAAUUGGAAAUUUUUAAUUCAAAGAAAAAACGCUAAACUUAUUAAUGACCGCACCCGCUUUAGGAGGAUUCGAACCCGGGAUCUUCUGUACGAGAGACCGACGCUUUGACGACUAGGCUAUGCGACCGACAGUUACAACGAAGUUUAGUUGUGCUACGUAAGAUUGAAAGAAUAUAAUCACUUUCGGAAAAGCAAAAUAUGAUCAUCAAUAUGCUGUGAGCGAUAUCAAUAAAAUUUACGAUUUUUUAUACACUACAACAUCCUGUUUAUAACUUAACAGAUUUCCA